rnacentral:rRNA from 1 species
UACAGAGGUCUCAAGCGUUGUUCGGAUACAUUGGGCGUAAAGGGUGCGUAGGCGGCGCGGUAAGUCGGGUGUGAAAUUUCGAGGCUUAACUUCGAAACUGCAUUCGAUACUGCCGUGCUUGAGGACUGGAGAGGAGACUGGAAUUUACGGUGUAGCGGUGAAAUGCGUAGAUAUCGUAAGGAAGACCAGUGGCGAAGGCGGGUCUCUGGACAGUUCCUGACGCUGAGGCACGAAGGCCAGGGGAGCAAACGGG